GCCAGUCAUGCUUGCUUGCAACUAGUACAUCAAAUAACAAGAAGAAAUUAAAGAGCCAGAACUAUAAAGAUAAGUAUAUAAUUUGCAUUAGUAAUACCUCAGAAUCAUGAAUAGGCACCAGUAACUAUCUAACAUUACUUUUUAUUUGAGUUUUGAUAGAUAACUCUACAGUUUUUGCAUCUAGAAGAAACGAAUGAUGAGUACAUUUUAACGUCUGUAGUUUUCUGGAUGUGCAUCUGAUUGCAGUAUUCAAAUGUUCACAGCUCCAUCUGAAGUUUUUUCAUUUGCCAUGUACACGCUCUGAGCUUAUUCACUUCAUAUUUCUCAGAGCUAUACAAAGGCAGAUUGUAGCUGCUAAUUUUGGCGACAAGGUUCUGGUCCAGCAAAAUAUCAGUUAUCUUCAAAUUAUUCGAAAAGAGGCCAGGGAUAAUUCCAUUAUGCAAGAAUUGCAGGCCCUUUGCUACCCCUGUAGCAGCUGCUAUACGUUGUGUCCAGGUUAGUUUCCGUCUAGCAUGUUUAUCUGCAAAUAAGCAACAGAGAAUAUCAAAUUACUGAAGCACAUUUACAUCCAACAAUAGGAAGGGGUAUACAUCUGCUUGUCAAGUAAUUACCAGAAGUCCAUCUCCUUAGGGUCCCGUUAGAGAGCAAGUAUAAGAAUGCAAAGAAUAUAGGCAGACAUAGCGAAAGAAGACAGGAACCUUACUUGGAUCUGUGAAUAACUUGGAGGUAUAUGAAGAUGAUGCAUCUUCUGAAAUAAAUCUGGUUGGCGUAUUUCGGGCAGAAGUCUUCUUUGCAAGAAAAUAUUUGGCAAUCAAGACGGUCAGGCAUACGAGUAUGACUCCACCGGUGAUGCUACCACAUAUGAUCAAGGCAAGAAUCACUUUAGAAGCAUGUUUUUGUCUUUGAUGCUGAGGUAAGACACCAACAGCCAAAGCCUCAUUCCGGCAAAAUGAAAAUGGAUGUUGAGUAUCAUCUCCGGUUGCUAAGCAGUUAUUUGAAAAAUGCACAAUUCUGUUCCUAGAAUUAGACAGAAGGCAACUAGGUAAUGAUCCUGUCAACAGAUUACCCGACAGAUCAACAAAAUCUAAUGCUGUGUUACAUGGAUUAUCUUCAAAGAGCAUUCCUGUUAACUUGUUUCCUGCAACAUUCAGAUAAGUGAUGGAUGACAAAGAUAGCAACGACGGAGGAAAUGGCCCCAUAAAGUUGUUGGAAGAAAUAUCAAAAUGUUCAAGCUGAUAAUAGGACUGAACUUUCUCUGAUCAGGUACAUCACCACUAAAAUUAUUCUUCGAAAGUGAAAGUACACGAAGAUUAUUCAAAUCACGCAGUGUAUCUGGCAAAUGUCCAUCUAGUGAAUUGCUCUUCAAACUCAAAACUGCCAAAACUGAAAGUGAACCAAGGCCAUCUGGAAUUCUGCCAGUCAACCUAUUUCCAUUUAACACUAAAGUUUGGAGGUCCGUCAAGGAUGAAACUGCUUCAGGCAAUGGCCCCCAUAAACCAAGAGAAACUAAUCUAAGGACUUUCAAGCUAGGAAGCUUGGCAAGCGCGUUGACAAAUGAACGAAUGGAGAACUUUCUAGAAAUCUGUCUCAUUAUUCCAACUACUCAAAGCUGUUGGAUAGUUCAAAAGAUGUUGAAUUCUCAAAAGAGUUUGCACUUGAGAUGAUUGUAAUUGCUCUGAAUAUCUUAUUGAGAUUAGUACCAAAAACAAAACCAGAAGCUUUUCAACUCC